GAUUGGUCAAUAAGAGAAAAGACUUGAUAUGUAUCUGACAAGUGAAAUAAAGUUGAUAAAAAUCUCAUAUCAAGACUUGGGUUUCUUUAAGAUAUAUAGGAGUUACAGCAAUGCAUUCUCAAGAAGGAGGAGAUUAAUGAAUCCUCCCCACUUACAAUGAACAACACAUGGUCACUCUCAGGAUGGUCCCUUUGCUUUCAUUAAGAGUUCCAAGAUGUGUGUCUGAUUGACUGGGGUGUGAAAUGUAACAGCCAAUGGUGUACUUAAGCUAGGACUGUCAGUCCCAAUAUU